UGCAGAAUCCCGUGAACCAUCGAGUUUUUGAACGCAAGUUGCGCCCGAAGCCAUUUGGUUGAGGGCACGUCUGCCUGGGCGUCACGU
rnacentral:rRNA from 1 species